rnacentral:rRNA from 1 species
UACGUAGGGGGCAAGCGUUGUCCGGAAUUACUGGGCGUAAAGCGUGCGCAGGCGGUUUGGUAAGACAGAUGUGAAAUCCCCGGGCUUAACCUGGGAAUUGCAUUUGUGACUGCCCGGCUAGAGUGUGUCAGAGGGGGGUAGAAUUCCACGUGUAGCAGUGAAAUGCGUAGAUAUGUGGAGGAAUACCGAUGGCGAAGGCAGCCCCCUGGGAUAACACUGACGCUCAUGCACGAAAGCGUGGGGAGCAAACAGG